CUUUUUUUUUUUUCCUCAGAAACUCUACUCGGUGCAUUGGUUACAUAAUCUUAGUCUAAAAACCCUAAAGAAUAGGUGUCUGAUCUCCACUUAACAAGGAAACACUGAGCCUCCAAGAGUUUAAAUGAUAAUUGCAUCAGUUAACUGGCACACCUGCAUGAGGCAGAACUGGCACUCAAAACCUGUGCUUUUCCCACUGUACCAGAGUUCAUCUGAUUUUACAUGAGCAGAGUUCAUAAUGAAAUUAGUUAGUAUCAUUUCCCCUGAUCUAACUGAUAGAUACUGCUCAUUCACUUAGCUUAACCUGAUGAUACAAAAAUAUAUUGAGGAUUAUGUGAACCUAAAUGCACACCUUAGGUUACAUUAUAAGUAAUAUUUGCUAGAAAUAUAAAUUACAACUAAAGUAAUUAUUAAAAUCUGAUAUGUUACAAUAUAAUUAUAUAGAUAAAUACAAAUACAAGUUUUCUUUGGAGCUACUUAGGUUGUACCAUUCUAUAUCCCAGCUGUCCUAGGUCUUGGUUUGAUUCAUACACGCCUCCAUGGUUGCAAAACAUCAAUAGUUCCCUCACCUUCAGACUCCAGCUGCAAUGCCAGCUCUUCCCUGGGUCUUCAGCCUGAUGGCCUACCCUGCAAAUUUUGGACUUGCCAGCCUACACAAUCAUAUAGAGCAAAUUCCUGAAACUUGGACUUUUUCUUCUGAAGGAAAGGGAUGGUCUGCUCUUGAUUAUUGCUUGUCAUCUCUUAUCUACCAGCAUGCUCAGAUCCAGAAGCAGUGUCCAGUAUAACAGUGCUCAAUAAAUAUUUGCAGCAUUGAAUUGAAACUCACUUCUGGAAUUCCUUUCUUGCUUUGAUGUGAAGUGUACCUUUUGGUUAGAAUUUCACAGGGCUUAAAUCAAGCAGCAUCUCUUAGGCAUUUCAGAGCUGUUCCUUUUUUAUGAGCACGGGAAAGGGCAGGGAAAUGACAACUCUAAUCAAAUUCAGACUUCAUGCAAUUGACGAUCGGUGGGUUUUCACAUUUGGGUCUGGACUGUUUGUUCAGCUUCAGUGUCAGGCCCGUGGAUAACAGUGGCCAAUAAAGCGUAAAAGCAUAUGUCCUGUAACAUUGCUUCUACUUGUUAUCCAGAGGACCCUGGAGAAUCACGGAGAAUAAUGUAAUUAGUAGGAAUGUGCCAUUGUACAGGAAGGAUGAGAGGAAAGAAGACAAGUUUAUUUCUGCAUAUAAGUAACUUAA
rnacentral:lncRNA from 10 species